UGCAUGCACAAACCCUAUGAACUAUACCUACAGUUCAAGACAAACGAUGUUGUUUGUACAAAUGUACAAUGGAGAACUUUUUAAAAUUUCAAAAAAAGAGGUUGACUUAUAAUGCUAGAAUUGUUGGAAAAGAUUAAACUUAAUGUUUGCUAGAACUGCUGAAAAAGAUGUGUGCCAACAAACACUUAGUUUGCCUAGAAUAUUAACAACAAAGAAAUGGUAUGUGGUUACAUAGAACCAAAAGAAAAGCCCAUGCAAAAGCGCCAAGCCGUUUGUAUAGUUAUUGCAUUUGCGAUUGAAUUGCUC
rnacentral:lncRNA from 7 species